rnacentral:rRNA from 1 species
ACAUAGGGUGCAAGCGUUGUCCGGAAUUAUUGGGCGUAAAGAGCUCGUAGGUGGUUCGUCACGUCGGAUGUGAAACUCUGGGGCUUAACCCCAGACCUGCAUUCGAUACGGGCGAGCUUGAGUAUGGUAGGGGAGUCUGGAAUUCCUGGUGUAGCGGUGGAAUGCGCAGAUAUCAGGAGGAACACCAAUGGCGAAGGCAGGACUCUGGGCCAUUACUGACACUGAGGAGCGAAAGCGUGGGGAGCGAACAGGAUUAGAUACCCUGGUAGUCCACGCCGUAAACGGUGGGUGCUAGUUGUGGGUCACAUUCCACGUGAUCCGUGACGAAGUUAACACAUUAAGCACCCCGCCUGGGGAGUACGGUCGCAAGACUA